CCUUGAGGGGUCGCAGGAGGCCUGGAGUAGCUGCGCUUGGACUCUGCAGACCCCACCUUAAGCCGUCUGUCAAAUCCUCCAUUUCCAGAGCGAUUCUUCCUACCCAGUAUCUGAGACAAGACACCCACCCAGUGUGACAUAAACUGAGGUAAACAUCUGUGACCAACACCUUCCCUAUGGGGCAAAGGGUCCCAACCCGACCAGCAGAGGCAGUGGCGGCAGGAGCAGCAAGGCCCCCUGACGGCGACGACGAGAGUGCAGACUUGGUUCCAGCCUGUCUCUCCAUCGGGCUGUCGCUGCCCCCUCUUUGCACCUCUGAAAACAGGGACUGGGCUACAUAACUACGAUCCCUUCCCAACUCUAACAUCCUAGAUACUACGACGAGGGAGAGACUCCCCAAACAGGAUCUUCACAGAGAAAGAGAGAGAGAGAAAGAGAGAGAGAGAGGGCGCACACGAGGGGCGUCUAAUUGGAACCUCGCUUCCUUGUUAUUGCAGGAGAGACAGGAUGUCGAGAGGCCUAAGGCAAAAGGAGAGGUGGCGGCUGGGAGAGGUGCCCGGAUGGGCUCCAGGUUCCCUGAGGGGUGUGCUGAAGCGCAGGCCUGGACGCCCUGUGGCAGCUGCUGGGUGAGAAUCCUGGGGCGGAGUUACCGAGGUGUCGGGAUGCAGCCACUGAAUACACAAGGUGCACCCGCAAGUGCACACCUGCUCAUGCACACAUUUAUCCCCCUCCCACUGCCCCCUGUUCUCACACCCACACUCCAGUACCAGAAACUUGGGAGACGGUGGGGAUGAGGUCAGCCCCAGGCUGACCACUGGAGCCUAGCAGAAACCUGGGAGAAAUUUCUGGCCCACAUCACCGCGCCAGCUGCCAAAAGCCCAGGCCGCUGAGUCUGAGCUGGGGC
rnacentral:lncRNA from 1 species